UACGGAGGGUGCAAGCGUUGUUCGGAAUCAUUGGGUGUAAAGCGCGUGUAGGCGGCUUGGCAAGUCAGUUGUGAAAGCCCGGGGCCCAACCCCGGAACUGCAUCUGAAACUGCUUGGCUCGAGUCCCGGAGAGGAAGGCAGAAUUCCCGGUGUAGGGGUGAAAUCCGUAGAUAUCGGGAGGAAUACCAGCGGCGAAGGCGGCCUUCUGGACGGUGACUGACGCUGAGACGCGAAAGCGUGGGGAGCAAACAGG
rnacentral:rRNA from 1 species